AUUGAACGCUGGCGGAAUGCUUUACACAUGCAAGUCGAACGGCAGCACGGACUUCGGUCUGGUGGCGAGUGGCGAACGGGUUAGUAAUGUAUCGGAACGAGCCCAGUCGUGGGGGAUAACGUAGUGAAAAUUACGCUAAUACCGCAUACGACCUAUGGAUGAAAGCGGGGGAUCGCAAGACCUCGCGCGAUUGGAGCGGCCGAUAUCAGAUUAGGUAGUUGGUGGGGUAAAGGCCCACCAAGCCAACGAUCUGUAGCUGGUCUGAGAGGACGAACAGCCACACUGGAACUGAGACACGGUCCAGACUCCUACGGGAGGCAGCAGUGGGGAAUUUUGGACAAUGGGCGAAAGCCUGAUCCAGCCAUUCCGCGUGCAGGAUGAAGGCCCUCGGGUUGUAAACUGCUUUUGUACAGAACGAAAAGGUUUCUACUAAUACUAGGAGCUCAUGACGGUACUGUAAGAAUAAGCACCGGCUAACUACGUGCCAGCCGCCGCCGUAA
rnacentral:rRNA from 1 species